AAUUGUCUGUAGUUCCAUUGGUCUUAAAGAUGCAGACUUUGGUCUGGGAAGCGCUGAGUCCCUCAGCACUCCUCAGUCCAUCCCCAUCUUCAAUUGCUUCUUCUACCAACCGAGCAAGCCUCUAUCUUCCUUACUCCUCAAACCAGAAAUCCAAACUUUACAACGAGCCACCGAGUUCCGCCACCUACGCUUCUAUUCUCGACAAUUGUGGGUCCCCCACCAUCGGAAAACAGCUUCACGCCCACUCCAUAAAGUCAGGGUUUCAUGCCCACGAGUUUGUUACCACCAAGUUGCUCCAGAUGUAUGCAAGAAACUGCUCUUUCCAGAACGCAUGCCAUCUGUUCGACACAAUGCCCUUUAGAAAUUUACACUCAUGGGCCGCACUCCUGCGUGUACACGUUGAAAUGGGUUUCUUUGAGGAAGCCUUCUUGCUCUUUGAACAAUUGCUGUAUGAAGCAGUGGGAUUGGAAUUUUUCGUAUUCCCUGUGGUGUUGAAGAUCUGUUGUGGGCUUUGUGCUGUGGAGCUGGGUAGGCAAAUGCAUGGGAUGGCAUUGAAAUAUGGGUUUGUUAAGAAUGUUUACAUUGGUAAUGCUUUGAUAGAUAUGUAUGGUAAAUGUGGGAGCUUAGAUGAGGCCAAGAAAGUUCUGGAAGGAAUGUCCCAAAAGGAUUGUGUCUCUUGGAAUUCUUUGAUCACUGCUUGUGUUGCUAAUGGAUUGGUAUACGAGGCGUUGGAUCUCUUGGAAAAUAUGACUGCGGGUGAGUGUGGUUUAGCACCUAAUCUUGUUUCUUGGAGCGUGGUGAUUGGUGGAUUCGCGCAAAACGGUUACUAUGUUGAGUCAGUUAAACUGCUUUCUAGAAUGGUGUUGGAAGCAGGGAUGAGACCGAAUGCUCAAACGCUGGCCAGUGUUCUUCCGGCUUGUGGGAGGAUGCAAUGGCUAUCCCUUGGGAAAGAAUUGCAUGGCUAUGUUGUUAGACAUGAAUUCUUCUCUAAUGCUUUUAUUGUGAAUGGGUUAGUGGAUACGUAUAGAAGGUGCGGUGAUAUGGAAAGUGCCUUCAAAAUGUUUACCAGAUUUUCUAGGAAAUGUGCUGCAUCUUACAAUGCAGUGAUAGCUGGUUACUGGGAGAAUGGCAACGUGUUUAGGGCCAAGGAGUUGUUUGACCAGAUGGAGAAAAAAGGUGUAGAAAGGGACAGAAUAUCAUGGAAUUCUAUGAUAUCAGGGUAUGUGGCCUAUUCUAUGUUUGAUGAAGCUUUUAGCUUGUUCAGAGAUUUGCUGAAGGUAGGAAUUGAGCCUGAUUCUUUCACUCUAGGAAGUGUUCUUGCUGGCUGUGCUGAUAUGGCUUCUAUUCAACGAGGGAAAGAGAUACAUUCCCAGGCCAUUGUCAAAGGUCUGCAGUUCAACAGUUUUGUUGGUGGAGCUUUGGUAGAAAUGUACUCUAAAUGCAGGGACCUAGUGGCUGCACAAAGGGCAUUUGAUGAUGUAACUGAAAGCGAUCUUCCAACUUGGAAUGCUUUGAUUUCAGGCUAUGCCCGCUCCGAUCAAACUGAAAAGAUUGGACAACUUCUCCAGAAAAUGAAAAGAGAUGGUUUUGAACCAAAUGUGUAUACAUGGAAUGGUAUUAUAGCUGGUUAUGUGGAAAAUAAACGGUGUGAUUCUGCAAUGCAAUUGUUCACUGAAAUGCAGAUUGCAAAUUUUAGGCCUGACAUAUACACAGUUGGAAUGAUUUUGGCUGCAUGCUCUAAGUUGGCUACAAUCCAACGAGGAAAGCAGGUCCAUGCUUAUUCCAUAAGAGCGGGGCACGACUCAGAUGUUCACAUUGGAGCUGCCCUAGUGGAUAUGUAUGCAAAAUGUGGGGAUGUUAAGCAAUGCUAUCGUGUAUAUAACAGGAUAUCAGAUCAUAAUUUAGUGUCGCACAAUGCUAUGAUUACUGCCUAUGCCAUGCAUGGGUACGGGGAUGAAGGAAUUGCUCUUUUUCACAGAAUGUUAGCUGGCAAAGUAAGGCCAGACCAUGUGACUUUUCUUGCAGUUCUUUCUUCAUGUGUUCAUGCUGGAUCAUUGGAGAUUGGUCAUGAAUGCUUUGAUUUGAUGGCAACUUACAAUGUGGCGCCCUCAUUGAAACAUUAUACAUGUAUGGUUGACCUGUUGAGUCGUGCAGGCAAGCUCGACGAAGCAUAUAAACAUAUCAAGAACCUGCCAAUGGAAGCGGAUGCAGUGAUCUGGAAUGCUCUGCUUGGUGGUUGUUUUAUUCACAAUGAAGUUACCUUGGGUGAAAUAGCAGCAGAAAAACUCAUAGAAUUGGAGCCUGAUAAUCCUGGAAACUAUGUUAUGUUGGCAAACUUGUAUGCUUCUGUGGGGAAAUGGCAUCAUCUUGCUCAAACUAGACAAUUAAUGAAAGAUAUGGGAAUGCAAAAGAGUCCAGGGUGCAGUUGGAUGGAAGAUAGAGAUGGAAUUCAUGUGUUCGUUGCUAGUGAUAAGACUCACAAAAGAACAGACGACAUAUAUUCUGUUCUUGACAGUUUAACCAAUUUAAUUCGAGUUAAGCAUAUAAAUCAUUUAUGACCUCAGCAUAUAGUUAGUUAUCUAUAAAGAAUACAAAAUAGUAGACAAAAAAGUAAUCACACGCGUGGCACAAUCCCAAAAAAGAUAUAACCCCCUAAAGUAAAGAAGGCAUGAAUACCUAAUAUUGCAACACGUGUUGUUCUAUACGAGUGACACGUGUCCUAAUUCAAAUACAAAUUACUUUCCUACUAAAUCUCAAUUCAGUAUCCCAAUCUCUCAUCUUUGCUUGUCAUCCCAAUGUGUUGGUGUUUCUUUCAUCCAGAAUCUCUAAAUCUCAAUUCAUUAUCCCAAUCUCUUAUCUCAGCCCAUUAUCUAACUUGAACAACAAAAGAACGAAGAGCCGCACCAUUGUCUAAAGAGAGAACCAUCUUAAGAGUCUGCAACGUUGAAGAGAGCCAUCCUGUAACCAAGCAAGAGGCCCAUUUGGAGAGCCUCGACUUGAGGGUGAUGCAAGUACAAACCUGCAUCUAUAUUAGAAAAGGGUUAAGUUGUGUGUAUUUUUCUUCUUUUUCUUAUAUAAUUCUUAAAUGGGAAAACAAUGUAGAUGCACCAAAUUUCAUUUAGCUUUCUACGUCUUAACCAUUACAUUUAUUCAUUUAUUGGUUUUUCUCUAGGACUUCAUCAAUUUAACCUAGUACAGACAUAAAGAAACUCAUAUGCCAUAUCCUUUAAAUGUUGUUAAAGUGAAAUUUUACAAAAUACAAACUCGGUGCUUUUACGAUAUCGAUGAUAAAAAAAAAUAAAAAAAUCAAAACUUGAGGUAGGUAAUUUUUUUUUACAAAAAUACUUUUGCAAUGAUCCAAUCUACGCAUGGAACUUAGCCAUUCUACAAAUACAAUAAAAUAGCGAAAGCCAAAUGAAAUCUGAUUUGUAACGGGUAAUAAUUUGACUAUAUCAAUUUUCUUCUUCUUUAUUUAGCUUGUUGAAAUUCUUUAUAUGCAAUUCACACAAUUAUUUUCCAAACUUCAAAUAGAAAUCAACCUUAAUUGUUUCUACAUCAUACUCAUACAUACCCACUUUUCACUCUUUCUAGUAAUUUUCAUUCCCAAAAUUCCCACUUUCCUCUUACUCAUCCAAGAAACCUAUACAACUAUGUUUUUGACUUCUCAAAUUCAAGGCAAAAAAUUGAAGACGAUGGUCAUGAACUUAUGCAAAAAAAAAUGUUCUCUCUACUUUACAUCUAUAGUUCUUAUAUAAGAAAAAGAAGAAAAUACCUACAACCUAAACCCUUUUUGAUGCAAAUGAUGCACGUUUGUACUUGUCAUCCUCAAUCCCAGGCUUUUCCAAUGGACCUCUUGUUUAGUCACAUGAUGGCUCUCUUCAAUGUUGUCUCAAAACCAGGAACUGUUUUUAGAAUGUUUGGCAGGGCUAAGAGAAAACUAAAAUAUAUUGCUGAACUUGGCCUAACCUUAACACAAGCCAAAAUGCCCCCAAAAUGCUCCUACACUCCUGUUAUGGUUGUAUUGACAAUUCAUUUUUUUAUCUCUUUUUAUGCUUUG
rnacentral:lncRNA from 1 species